CACAUAGGAAGCUCUAACUUUUCGCCUCCCCCACAGGAAGAUUUGAACACAGGAAGACUCACUCACCCAUGUGACCUGAGGUGAGGGCCCAUCGAGGAGAAUGCAGGAGAGAUUCGUCCAGGCCAAGCCAAUGAGACAAGAGCAGAGUGCUAGGCUCCUACCUUCCUCCCCAGGAAGAUGACAAGGUGGCGCAGCCCUAUCAGGAAACACCCGGAAUGUCAGCACUCACAUACGAACGUCCGCCGAGCACGAUAACCCACGUAGUCACUCAGGCACCGAGGGACAAAAGUAGGCAGAAGGAGCUUCUGAAAUUCUUUAGGAGGAGGUGUGCAUCAGAGGUCUGCCAUAGGCUGGCUUUCCGGGAAGAGAGGGAGGACUGGAACUUGAGCCCACGCUGCCCACGCACCUGUGACCUGGGGCUGGAUGCUUCUGCCGACAAACUGGACAUUGGCUUGCAGCUUGGAUGUCCAGGGGGCCAAGGGACUCAGGAUGCCCCUGCUGGCAAAGAGGCAGCAAGGACAGGAAGGAGUGACCCUAACCUACAGCAACCCUGCCAGGUGGCAGGCAGCUCGAUGUGACAAUGACUCCGUCACCUGCCCGAGGGCCCGAGGCUGCCGCCUGCUCACCACAGCUGCAAGAAUAGCCGCCCCCUGGGAGCCGGGCACAUUUCUCUGACACUGCAGCGCCACCACCCUGUCCCUGCCCGGCCUCCGCCUCUCUUCUCACACAG
rnacentral:lncRNA from 1 species